rnacentral:rRNA from 1 species
AUACGGAGGGGGCGAGCGUUAUUCGGAAUUACUGGGCGUAAAGCGCACGUAGGCGGCGACGCAAGUCGAAGGUGAAAGCCCUCGGCUCAACCGAGGAAUUGCCUUCGAAACUGCUUCGCUUGAGUCCGGGAGGGGGGAGCGGAAUUCCCAGUGUAGCGGUGAAAUGCGUAGAUACUGGGAGGAACACCGGUGGCGAAGGCGGCUCCCUGGACCGGUACUGACGCUGAGGUGCGAAAGCGUGGGGAGCAAACAGGAUUAGAAACCCUAUAGUCC